rnacentral:rRNA from 1 species
AGAGUUUGAUCCUGGCUCAGGAUGAACGCUGGCGGCGUGCCUAACACAUGCAAGUCGAACGAAGCACUUAAGACGGACCCUUCGGGGGAAGAUUUAAGUGACUGAGUGGCGGACGGGUGAGUAACGCGUGGGCAACCUGCCCUGUACAGGGGGAUAACAGUUGGAAACGGCUGCUAAUACCGCAUAAGCGCACAGUGGGACAUCCCACGGUGUGAAAAACUCCGGUGGUACAGGAUGGGCCCGCGUCUGAUUAGCUAGUUGGCAGGGUAACGGCCUACCAAGGCAACGAUCAGUAGCCGGUCUGAGAGGAUGAACGGCCACAUUGGAACUGAGACACGGUCCAAACUCCUACGGGAGGCAGCAGUGGGGAAUAUUGCACAAUGGGGGAAACCCUGAUGCAGCAACGCCGCGUGAGUGAAGAAGUAUUUCGGUAUGUAAAGCUCUAUCAGCAGGGAAGAUAAUGACGGUACCUGACUAAGAAGCUCCGGCUAAAUACGUGCCAGCAGCCGCGGUAAUACGUAUGGAGCAAGCGUUAUCCGGAUUUACUGGGUGUAAAGGGUGCGUAGGCGGCAAGGCAAGUCAGAUGUGAAAGACCGGGGCUCAACUCCGGGGCUGCAUUUGAAACUGUUUUGCUGGAGUCCAGGAGAGGCAGGCGGAAUUCCUAGUGUAGCGGUGAAAUGCGUAGAUAUUAGGAGGAACACCAGUGGCGAAGGCGGCCUGCUGGACUGGUACUGACGCUGAGGCACGAAAGCGUGGGGAGCAAACAGGAAGGGAUACCCUGGUAGUCCACGCCGUAAACGAU